rnacentral:rRNA from 1 species
CCUACGGGAGGCAGCAGUGAGGAAUAUUGGUCAAUGGGUGCGAGCCUGAACCAGCCAAGUCGCGUGAGGGAAGACGGUCCUAUGGAUUGUAAACCUCUUUUGUCGGGGAGCAAAAGACGCCACGCGUGGCGUUCCGAGAGUACCCGAAGAAAAAGCAUCGGCUAACUCCGUGCCAGCAGCCGCGGUAAGGCGGAGGAUGCGAGCGUUAUCCGGAUUGAUUGGGUUUAAAGGGUGCGCAGGCGGAAGAUCAAGUCAGCGGUAAAAUUGAGAGGCUCAACCUCUUCGAGCCGUUGAAACUGGUUUUCUUGAGUGAGCGAGAAGUAUGCGGAAUGCGUGGUGUAGCGGUGAAAUGCAUAGAUAUCACGCAGAACUCCGAUUGCGAAGGCAGCAUACCGGCGCUCAACUGACGCUCAUGCACGAAAGUGUGGGUAUCGAACAGGAUUAGAUACCCGAGUAGUC